AGGCUACCGCUAUUGGAGUUCGAUUAAGCCAUGCGAGUCGCGAGAAUUAGAUUCUCGGCGUACCGCUCAGUAACACGUGGGUAACCUGCCCUAUGCUGGAUAAUAACCUCGGGAAACUGAGAAUAAUGAUCUAUAGUUCACUACGCCUGGAACGGUGAGUGGAUGAAAGCUCCGGCGGCAUAGGAUGGGCCUGCGGCGUAUCAGGUUGUAGGGGGUGUAAUGUACCCUCUAGCCCUCUACGCGUACGGGUGUUGAGAGACAUCGCCCGGAGAUGGAUUCUGAGACACGAAUCCAGACCCUACGGGGUGCAGCAGGCGCGAAAACUUGGCAAUGCGAGAAAUCGUGACCAGGGAACUCCAAGUGCAUGGGGUAAGACCUAUGCUUUUCUAGACUCUAAAAAGGUCUUGGAAUAAGAGGUGGGUAAGGACGGUGCCAGCCGCCGCGGUAAUACCGGCGCCUCAAGUGGUGGUCGCUUUUAUUGGGCCUAAAACGUCCGUAGCCGGUCUGAUACAUUCGUGGGUAAAUCAACCAGCUUAACUGGUUGAAUUCUGCGAGGACGGUCAGACUUGGGACCGGGAGAGGUGUGGGGUACGCUCAGGGUAGGGGUAAAAUCCUGUCAUCCUGAGCGGACCACCUGUUGCGAAGGCGCCACACUAGAACGGAUCCGACGGUCAGGGACGAAGCCUAGGGGCACGAACCGGAUUAGAUACCCGGGUAGUCCUAGGUGUAAACGCUGUGGACUUGAUGUUGGGGGUGCUCCGAGCACUCUCAGUGUCGAAGCGAAGGCGAUAAGUCCACUGCCUGGGAAGUACGGUCGCAAGGCUGAAACUUAAAGGAAUUGGCGGGGGAGCACCGCAACCUGAGGAUUGUGCGGUUU
rnacentral:rRNA from 1 species